UCUCAGGGCAGAGAGGACAGAAUGGAUAUAAUCUGAAUCCCGUUAAAUUUUCUCUAAAUUUUUCAACACUGGCCAGAUGG